UGCAAACCCGCCUACUUGUUCUUUUCCUAAUAUAACCCAAUCCCUAAUUUUCUUUUAAGAACAAGAAAGAUAAAAAUUUGUAAUUGAAGAAGUGGAUAAUUAUUAUUUAUAAUAAAUUUGAAUAUAUUUUUUGCAAUAGAAAAAUGGUUGUGGGUUAUUAUUAUUCCUAAAUAAAGUGUGAGUUUUAUAAUUCAAGUUAAAAUUUAAAUUUUAUAGGUUUAUGAAUGUAUAGAGACUAUUUUAAUAUAUUGAUGAAGAUUAAUUAGAAACCCAAAUAAUUUUCUCUUCUAUUUUUAUUUUUAUUUUUAUUUUUAUUUUUUUAGGUAGCUUGAGACUAUUUUAUUUUUAUUUUUAUUUUUAUUUUUUUAAUUUUAAUAUUUACUCUCUGCUCAGAAGUUGCUGUAUCCUUGCUUGGUAAGAUGCUCUGUUCAGGCUUCAAUGUUGUUGGGUUGAAUUGGCAACUGAACUCGAAUCAAUUCUCAUGCAAGGGUUGGGGAAUUUGCUCAACUUAUAAUUGGUAGGUUUAUGCCUCUGACCAAACUCAUUUCGCCUCUCCAAGAUUCUGCAAAAUUAAUUGGUAUUAUCAUGUCGGCGCUGCUUAUAAUUAGUAGAGCUUGCAUUGCCCUGAAUUCAGGCAUUGCUUGAGUAGAGUUGGGCUUGCUGAUUCAUUUUAGUGACAAAUGAAAACAUUAAAAAAAAAAAUCAGGACUUGUUCGUCCAAAUUUACAGAUAUUUUGUUCUUUAAUUAAUUUUAUUAUAAUAAACAAUAGGAUAGCAGUGUUGUUUAACCAGUUGCUUACACCUUGGCAAUAUAGCUUUGUGUUUUUUUUUUCUUUUUUCUUUUUUUUUUUAAUAGUUUGUGAGAUGGCCAGUGAUACGUAUGUCUUUUUAAAAUUUUCAAUUAUUGGGGCAACGAACAUGUUAAAUAAUUUGCGGUGGACAAGGUACCAAUAUUGACUCAAUAUGUCAAAUUUUUAGAAAACUUUAACGUCAAAUGCCUUCUUUCCAUUGUUGUAAGUACAAGUCAAAUUUCUUGCAAAUUUUCUAUGGGUGUGAUGAUUUUUUUUUUUUUUUUUAGUGCAAACGGCUCACCUUUCACAUAUUCAUAGAGAUGUCGAAUUCUCUAUCUUCACCAUGAUUCUAGAUUGAGGAUUAUACAUAGAGAUCUCAAAGUAAGUGAUGUAUUACUUGAUAAUGAGAUGAACCCAAAAAUUUUAGAUUUGUGUGAGAUGGCACUAUUCACAUUAUUUUUUUAAUUUCUUUAAUUAAAAUAACAAAACUAAAUAAAAAUGUAUAAUAUUUAAUAAAAUUAAAAAUUCAAGUAUGUUGCCGCUAGUGCUGAUGAACUACUAGCGACAGUUCGACGGCGGCUAGCCACAGGUGGCUACUGCAUGACAUCAUGUUUUACGCUAAAAUUUGGUAUCAUUAAAAUUCUCAUUGUCGGGGCUUCACAGUAGUGCCAAAACCUUGAUUGUAGAUCAAUGGUGAAUAAAAAUUCCUUUGCCGAUGAUAGUUGACCAUUGCAUAGCCCUAAUAAUAAUGAUUCUAAUGGUAUCAAAAUAUAGUUCAAAUGGUACUAAAGUAGGAUGGUCAACGGUGAAAAUUUUUUGUUUUGAUUAUAAAAUUUUAAAUUAUUAAUUGAAUAUAAAUAAUAAUAGAAUAUAAAUGAAACUUUUAUUAUUAAUUUAAUAUAAAUAUUAAAAUAGAAAUUAUUAUUUUAAAUAAUACAAUGCAAGCUACAUCAAACAUCAUAUUGUAUUACAAUUUAAUACAAUAUAAUAUAAUACAAUACAGUAUGUCAAACGCACCCAUAAAAAAAAAGUCAAAAUCACAAGAUUUAUUUGGUGGGUCUUACCUGCAUUAUCCUUAGUUUACUUUUUGAGUCAAAUAAACAAUAGGCCCUGGAGAAUUUUUAGUUCAUCAUGCUAUUGCUUUAGGUGUAUAUACAACUACAUUGAUCUUGGUAAGGAGUACAGAUUACUUUUUGCGUCAAAUACUAUGUUGGGAUUAAUUUUUUAUAAAAUUAGUCUAUUCCACUGUCUUUAAUUGCAUCCAAACAUACCCCAAUGGUUAACUAUGAGAAAAUUUUAAUAAAGACUAGCAAUUUGUUUACUUGGAAUUGGAAUGGACAAAAAUUGCAAUGAGCUGAAAUCAGAAUAGGCUGGAAUUGAUCACAUGAGAAACUAGAAUCAAAGUAAGUUGUAUACUUGAAUCAAAAUCAAUAAUUUUCCAAUUGAUGUAUUUACUUCUGUCUUGUAAUCCAAAUAAGUUAUCACAAGUCAUAAAAAUGUCCUUAGUUCCACUCUUGCUAGAUGUCAUGAUGAUAUAUGUUUCAUCCAUCUGGUAAGCGAAGGAGUUAUUACAAGUUAAAAAAAUGUCCUUAGUUACAAUUAUGUAUUUUUCUAUGUAAAAUAAAUAAGCAAACAUUUUUAAAGAAAACAUUGGCAUAUUUAUUAUAAUAUUGAGUGUAAUACAAUGAGUUUUUGAGUAAACUAGUUGUCGUUGUUGUUAUUUUAUAUCGAUAAUAACUACUAUUAAUAUUAUUAUUGUAGGAAAAUUAAAGCCCUAAACUUCCUAUUAAUUUAAUUCCUUCUUAUUACCAGAAGGGGAACCAAAGUUCAAAUACCAAGUUUUUGUUCCUGGUAGGACUCGAACCUACGCCCCUCAACUUUCUAGGUAUAGGUUCUCCCAUUAGAUUACAAAAUCGGCUUGUGUUAUUGUUACUACUAAUACUAUUAUUAUUAUAAUUGUUUAUUUUCUUAUUAGUAUAAUUACUUUUAUUAAGAUUACUUAAUUAUGUAAUAGGAAUAAAAUCAAAAUUUCAGAAAUUAAGGGUGGUAAAAUAAUUAGUUUAGAAAAUGAAAAUCACAGUCCCACCUUCCCAUAGAAAUUAGAUUCUCAUUCCCACAUUUAAAUUUUGGUGGGCCUCGCAAAUUUCAUUCACAUUCUCAAAUAUCAAAUGAAAAGACUAGCCAAGCCCUGAGAACUGACAUCGAUCAAUUAGCUCUUCCGUGUUAGAAAUAUAUGUUAUUUGUUUUGUCUUUUUUUUUUAAUUCAUAUAUUGUUAAAAAGUUAAAAUUGGCUAUUUGUUUAUUCAAAUUGAUUGAAAAAGAAGAGGUGAGCCACAUGCAUAAUUGACUUUUGAAGGAGGUAGGAACCUUCAAAAGUCACGUUAAGAGACUAUCAUUUUUCUUACCUAUGAUCGAAGCUUCAUUUGAAGGAUAUGUUGUACAAAUGAUUUAGCUCAUGUGAUUAAUAAAUAUAUACGAUCAUAAUUAAUUUCCGGCUUCUAGGGAAGUUAAAAUCCUUAUUUUUCCAUUUUUGUUUUAAGCAUGGUUUUUUACAAUUUUAUAUUUAAGUUUAAUAAAUUGAAUAGUACGUGUGUAUCAUUUCAUUAUGUUUAUGUUUAUGUCUCUAUCUUUAAUUUUAAGGACGCUAUAUAUAUUAACUCAUAUUUCUAAACAUGAGUUUCUUGCAGCAGGGUUCGAAUAGGAUGAUGAUGGGAACAAGAAGACAUGAUUUCUAUUAGAGCAUAUUCGACUGAUUUCUAAAAUUAUACCAAUUAUAAAUUCAUUAUUAGUUAGAUGAGAAAUAAGAAAUUUAAUUCUAUAAAUUAACUAAUGUACAACAAAUGAUUUACAAGGAUGGGACUUGACUAGCUUACAGAAUCUGUAAGCUACAGACUGCAGCAUCAGCCGUUGGAUGUGGUUGGAUGUGGAGUGAGAAACUAAACAAUACAAAAUCGGAUGGUGGGAUGACGGGAGAUGUUUGUUACAGAAGCUGUACCAUAGACAGGUCCUACAAGGAUGACCCAAGUAAACUAUCAGUCAAAGUCAAUGAAUAUAUUAAAAGCAAAAAAUUCUCCGUUGAUAAUAACCGAUUGCAACUUAUAGAGAGAUACCAAAAAUAUAAUUAGUAUUCAAUGUCCUUUCUGAAGUUCCACACGUAAUUUAGCGAUUUCCCAUACAAGUGGGGCUUAUCUGCUCAUCAUUGCUCUGCUCCUUUUUGUUUUUAUUUUUAUUUUUACUUUUUUAACUGCUGCUCGUAAUUGCCGGCGGGGUUUUUCGAAAUUAUUGAUUAUUCUUUCCUUUGAAAUUAAUAUAAAAAAACAGCUCCAUAAUUUUUCUGUGUAAUUUAAAACUAUUGCAUGACGUUUUCUAUUCGCCCAUCCAUUAUUUAAUUGAUAACGGCCCAGCAUGCAUAUGGCUAGAAAUUCUCUUCUUAAUUCUAUUCUAAUUAAAUUUCAUGUAAAUGUUUCUCAGUUCUCAGUGUUUUCGGAUAUAUUAAAGACCAUAAUAACAAUAAUAAUAAUAAUAAUAAUAAUAAUAAUAAUAAUAAUGUAUUACAUCUCAAAUUGCCUUCGUUAUAAUAUUUGGUCCUAAAAUUAAUAAAAAUAAAAAGUUGUACAAUUGCAGAUGAAAAUCAUUUACCGGUAAUAGCUGUACCAUUGCAUAACCCAAAUAAUAAUUAUUUUAAUGAUAUCAAAAUCUAGUUCAAAUGGAACUAAAGUACGGCGGUGAAAUUUUUUAUUUUAAUUAUAAAAAUUUAAACUAUUAAUUGAAUAUAAAUAAUAAUAAAAAAUAAAUGAAUCUUAGAUUAUUCCUACAAUUUGGUGGGUCCCGACAUUAUGGGGAAGUGCACGUUGCCACAAGAAGUCAAGAACGACUUUGGUGGGUCCCGACAUUAUUCCUACAUUUUAAGUCUUCGGCUCAUUUAUUUCCCAUUUUCUUUUUCUUUUUCAUAAACAAAAUUUCUAACCAUUGGUUUUUAUUUCUUAAAUAGGACGGUUUGACUCCAGAAGCAUUGACUUUCAGUUCAAUGCCAUUAAAGAUGGAUCAUUUUUGGAAAAAAAAAGAUGGAUCAUUAGUCACGGUAUUAGCAUCUAUAGAGUUUGUUAGAGAGAGAUCUAAACCAAUACACAAAUGGGUGUACUUUCAGGUCAGUGCCCUCCAAGAUGGAUUAUCAGUCAUGGUGUUUAAUUAUAUUUAUUUAAUUUGUUAGAGAGAGCUCUACGCCUAUAGAGUAUAACAAAUGGAUGUACUUUUGUUUUCGUUCAUCUGUUGUAAGUUACUGUUUUUCUUGUCUGAAUCCUCUUUCGCUUCCGACACCAUUACUUCAUCUCAGUCCCUCAGUGAUGGCAGGACCUUAGUUUCAAAAGAUGGAAGCUUUGAGCUUGGUUUCUUCAGUCCUGGUAGUUCCAAGAAUCGUUACGUGGGAAUUUGGUACAAAAAUAUGCCAGUUAAAACUGUUGUUUGGGUUGCAAACCGAAUCAACCCCAUUAAUGACUCUUCUGGGUUGUUAGUUGUAAACGAGACGGGCAAUCUUGUUUUAACAAGCCAGAACAAGAGUGUAGUUUGGUCAGCAAACUUGAGCAAAGAAGUCCGGACUCCAGUUGUAUUGCAGCUACUAGAUUCAGGAAAUCUUGUCCUAAGAGGUGAACGAGAUGGCGGUUCUGAAACUUAUUUAUGGCAAAGCUUUGAUUAUCCUUCUGAUACAUUGCUACCGGGAAUGAAGCUCGGAUGGGAUUUGAAGACUGGUCUUGAGCGGCGUAUAACAUCAUGGAAGAGCCCAGACGACCCGUCUCCUGGAAACUUUACUUGGGCAGUUGAACGACAAGAUAAUCCUGAGUUAAUCAUGUGGAAGGGAUCAAGAAAGUUUCACAGGGGUGGCCCAUGGAAUGGCCUUGUCUUUAAUCAGGAUGAGCUGUACUACACCUUCGACAUGAUAGAUAAAGAUGUUUUCUCAAGGAUUGUUAUGAACCAAACACUCUAUGUACGUCAACGAUUCACAUGGGAUAAAGCAACUCAAAGUUGGGAAUUGUAUGCAAAUGUGCCAACAGAUCUAUGUGACACUUAUGCCCUUUGUGGUGCCUAUGGCAUUUGCAUCAUUAGCGAUAUGCCUCUUUGCCAAUGUUUAAAAGGUUUUAAACCAAAGUCAAGGGGAUAUGUGGACUGGUCUCAAGGGUGUGUGCGUGAUAAGUCGUUAAACUACUCUACACAAGAUGGCUUUAUCAAGUUCACUGAGCUGAAGUUGCCAGAUGCUACUUCUUCUUGGGUGAGCAAAAGUAUGAAUCUCUAUGAAUGCCAGGAUAAAUGCUUAGACAACUCUUCUUGUUUGGCAUACACAAAUUCAGAUAUCAGAGGAGAAGGCAGUGGCUGUGCCAUGUGGUUUGGCGAUCUGAUUGACAUGAGAAGCUCUUCAGAUGGUGGGCAGGACUUCUAUAUUCGAAUGUCUGCUUCAGAGCUAGGUAUCUGUUUACUUGUUUAAGUUACUCCAUUAUGAGAACUUAGGAGUGCCACUCCAGUUAGAUUAGUUCCAUAUUUUUAUUGUGUAAUUUAGUAAUGAGUUCAGAUUGAGAUGCUCCUUUCACAAAAAGCAGUUUCUGGGUAUGGCUUCUGUGCAUAGAAUUCUGCUGCUAUUUGAAUCAUUUGAUUAUUGACUUGCUUUGCUAUAUCUGAAUAUGCUGAUCAAGGAGCGAAAGGUGAGCCUAGGACGAAGAUAGUGGUGAUAGUCAUUCCUACUGCUGCUCUGUUAGCUGCGGUGCUUAUAGCUGGCUACUUGGUUCACAAAAGAAGGAGAAAUGUAGUAGGUAUAAUAUUGCUCCAUUUUCCUUCACAAAUUUUCGUUGACGAUUUGAUGCAGGAAAAUCAAACUCUUAUAAAUAUUAAAUUUACAACAGUCGAUUAAGUUUUUAUAUGCAACAAUAACUGUAUGUUUGUUUCAAGAUGAAGAGUUAACAGUGCAUAUCAUUUAGAUCAGGGGCAGGGUAAUUAAACUUGUAAAUUUUUGGUUGGAAUGGCAGGUUUACUUGCAUUUAGUGUUAUAUCAAUACACGCCUCUUUUUCACCUAUGGUUCUUUAUUUACUUGCACUUUCAUAUUGACUGGAAAAUAGCAUUAAUACAAAUUUACAGAUAAAGAACCUUCUCAUCAAGAACAUGAAAAUUGUAGUUACUAGUUAGUAGUUUAAUAUUUUCCAGUAUACGCAUAUGUGCUUUCAGUUAAUAUUAUCCAAUAUUUCUGAGAAAACAGAAAACAACAGGGAAACUGAUCAGGUUCAAAACAUGGACCUGGAGCUACCACUGUUUGAGUUAGCUACAAUUGCUAAUGCCACCGAUAACUUUUCAAUCAACAACAAGCUUGGAGAAGGUGGCUUUGGACCUGUUUACAAGGUAAACUUGAAAGCUGCAAGCCAAGAAUACUUAUUUCACUGGGUAACUAAAUUCACAUAUAUCUUCCCAGGGCACCCUGGUGGAUGGACAGGAAAUUGCUGUAAAAAGGCUUUCGAAGAUUUCCGAGCAAGGAUUGAAGGAGUUAAAGAAUGAAGUUAUACUAUUUUCCAAAUUACAGCACAGAAAUCUUGUAAAGCUUCUUGGCUGCUGCAUUCAGGGAGAGGAGAAAUUGUUGAUUUAUGAAUUCAUGCCGAACAAAAGCCUGAACUCUUUCAUUUUUGGUCUGGGUCCCUGUAACCUUAAAAUAUUCGGCUAGCUUGUGCCUUGAUUAUAGACGUUUCUUAUGUAUUUUCAGAAAAUUUUGUACUAACCUUAAUGUGGUAAUUUGUAGAUCAAGAAAGAAGUAAGAUAUUGGAUUGGUCCAAGCGUUUCCACAUUAUUUGUGGGACUGCUAGGGGUGUUAUGUACCUUCAUCAAGAUUCUAGAUUAAGGAUUAUACAUCGAGAUCUCAAAGCAAGUAAUGUGCUACUCGAUCAAGAUAUGAACCCAAAAAUUUCAGAUUUUGGUUUGGCAAGAGCUUUUGGUGGAGACGAAACAGAAGGAAACACAAACAGAGUGGUUGGAACAUAGUAAGUACUUCUUGUCAUGUGAUCUUUACGAUUCACUUGUACUGAUUAAUGAAAAUUAACUUAUAUAUUUUAAUCUUUUGAAGUGGUUAUAUGGCACCGGAAUACGCUAGUGAUGGGCAAUUCUCAGUAAAAUCUGAUGUCUUCAGCUUUGGAAUUUUAUUGCUGGAGAUAACAAGUGGAAAGAAAAGUAGAGGAUUUUAUCAUUCCGACAACAAUCUUAACCUUAUAGGUCAUGUAAGUAAAAUGCAUACGACAUUUUCUAACAUAGUUUGAACUAAUAAACUAUAGAUGAUAAAAGAGUUUUAAUAUGUUGUAGGCAUGGAAGUUGUGGAACGAAGGCAUGCCUUCACAAUUAAUCGAUCCGUGUAUUCAAGGCUCAUUCAAUCUUGCUGAAGUGAUACGAUGCAUCCACAUCGGUUUGUUAUGCGUGCAACAGCAUCCAAAGGACAGGCCAAGCAUGCCCUCAGUGAUUUUGAUGUUGGGCAGCGAGACUGUGUUGCCUCAGCCAAAGCAACCCGGUUACUUGGCGGACUGGAAAUCUAUCAGACAAGAUUAUUCAUCAAGCACGCCUGAAUCAUGUUCAACCAAUACAAUUACGAUCUCUGAGUUGGAGGGUCGGUAGAGAAUCUAUUUGUGGUAUCAUGCCUUAUUCUACAAUGUCAAGUGCAAAAGCGGUAAUAUGUCAACCAAAUGGAAAGUUCACAUAAAUGAUUGGAUAAAAAAUUAUGAGGAUCCUCCAAUGAUUGCAUGUUGUGGAUCUAAAUAGAAUGUUGGCUAAUGUUUAUAUAGAAAUUGUAAAUUAGGGUACCGUGAGCAGUGUUGGAUCCAAAAAAAAAAAUGAUUAACCGAGAAUUAAGUUAAAUAAAAGCAAGACGUUAUAAUUUUUUUAAUAUCAAAUAUUUGCUCAUACAUUUAUGAGAAUAUCUUUGGUGCUUUUGGAGUGUUUUUAUCUAUUCACUAUUUAUCAUGUGUGUAUAUAUGUCAUCAUGAUUUGUAGAAGCAUACACAUGACAAAGAGUGAAUGAAAAAGGAGAAGCUCUCUAAGAGCACCAAGAUUUUUCCUACAUUUUGAAAAGCUUGUGCAAUAUACUCAUUAUCAAUACUAUUAAGUACAUCAUUUUCUACAUAAACAACAAAAUUAAUAUUCAUCCAUUCAUCUCUCAUCAGAUUUCAAAGUUGAUUGUUCAUGAACUUAAUUGCGGAAAAUGUUUUCUCUACUGUGGUUGUGGGAACCGCAAGAAUUAAAGCUAAGCGUCACCAACGAAUAUAUUAAUUAUGUAACUGAUACGCUUUCAUCUUUUUUAGUCUCAAAGUAUUCUUUUAGCAAAUCACUAAUUCCCUUCAUUCUUGCAAACCCGCAUACUUGUUCUUUUCCUAAUAUAACCCAAUCCCUAAUUUUCUUUUAAGAACAAGAAAGAUAAAAAUUUGUAAUUGAAGGAGUGGAUAAUUAUUAUUUAUAAUAAAUUUGAAUAUAUUUUUUGCAAUAGAAAAAUGGUUGUGGGUUAUUAUUAUUCUUAAAUAAAGUGUGAGUUUUAUAAUUCAAGUUAAAAUUUAAAUUUUAUAGGUUUAUGAAUGUAUAGAGACUAUUUUAAUAUGUUGAUGAAGGUUAAUUAGAAACCCAAAUAAUUUUCUCUUUUAUUUUUAUUUUUAUUUUUUUUAGGUAGCUUGAGCCUACUUUUUUUUAUUUUUUUUUUAUUUUAAUAUUUACUCUCUGCUCAGAAUUUGCUGUAUCCUUGCUUGGUAAGAUGCUCUGUUCAGGCUUCAAUGUUGUUGGCUUGAAUUGGCAACUGAACUCGAAUCAAUUCUCAUGCAUGGGUUGGGGAAUUUGCUCAACUUAUAAUUGGUAGGUUUAUGCCUCUGACCAAACUCAUUUCGCCUCUCCAAGAAUCUGCAAAAUUAAUUGGUAUUAUCAUGUCGGCGCUGCUUAUAAUUAGUAGUGCUUGCAUUGACCUGAAUUCAGGCAUUGCUUGAGUAAAAAAAAAAUCAGGACUUGUUCGUCCAAAUUUACAGAUAUUUUGUUCUUUAAUUAAUUUUAUUAUAAUAAACAAUAGGAUAGCAGUGUUGUUUAACCAGUUGCUUACACCUUGGCAAUAUAGCUUUGUUUUUUUUUUAAUAGUUUGUGAGAUGGCCAGUGAUAUAUAUGUCUUUUUAAAAUUUUCAAUUAUUGGGGCAAUGAACAUGUUAAAUAAUUUGCGGUGGAAAAGGUACCAAUAUUGACUCAAUAUGUCGAAUUUCUAGAAAAUUUUAACAUCAAAUGCCUUGUUUCCAUUGUUGUAAGUAUAAGUCAAAUUUCUUGCAAAUUUUCUAUGGGUGUGAUGAAUUUUUUUUUUUUUUUUUUUGAGUGCAAACGGCUCACCCUUCACAUAUUCAUAGAGAUGUCGAAUUCUCUAUCUUCACCAUGAUUCUAGAUUGACGAUUAUACAUAGAGAUCUCAAAGUAAGUAAUGUGUUACUUGAUAAUGAGAUGAACCCAAAAAUUUUAGAUUUGUAUGAGAUGGCACUAUUCACAUUAUUUUUUAAUUUCUUUAAUUAAAAUAACAAAACUAAAUAAAAAUGUAUAAUAUUUAAUAAAAUUAAAAAUUCAAGUAUGUUGCCGCUAGUGCUGAUGAACUACUAGCGAAAGUUCGACGGCGGCCAGCCACAGGUGGCUACUGCAUGACAUCAUGUUUUACGCUAAAAUUUGGUAUCAUUAAAAUUCUCAUUGUCGGGGCUUCACAGUUUUGCCAAAACCUUGACUGUAGAUCGAUGGUGAAUGAAAAUUCCUUUACCGAUGAUAGUUGACCAUUGCAUAACCCUAAUAAUAAUGAUUCUAAUGGUAUCAAAAUAUAGUUCAAAUGGUACUGAAGUAGGAUGGUCAACGGUGAAAUUUUUUUAUUUUGAUUAUAAAAUUUUAAAUUAUUAAUUGAAUAUAAAUAAUAAUAGAAUAUAAAUGAAACUUUGAUUAUAAUUUAAUAUAAAUAUUAAAAUAGAAAUUAUUAUUUUAAAUAAUACAAUGCAAGUUACAUCAAACAUCAUAUUGUAUUACAACUUAAUACAAUAUAAUAUAAUACAAUACAGUAUGUCAAACGCACCCAUAAAAAAAAAAGUCAAAAUCACAAGAUUUAUUUGGUGGGCUUACCUGCAUUAUUCUCAGUUUACAUUUUGAGUCAAAUAAACAAUAGGCCCUGGAGACUUUUUAGUUCAUCAUGCUAUUGCUUUAGGUGUACAUACAACUACAUUGAUCUUGGUAAAGUGGACAAUUUACUUUUUGCGUCAAAUACUAUGUUGGGGUUAAUUUUUUUAUAAAAUUAGUCUAUUCCACUGUCUUUAACUGCAUCCAAACAUACCCUAAUGGUUAACUAUGAGAAAAUUUUAAUAAAGGCUAGCAAUUUGUUUACUUGGAAUGGGAAUGGACAAAAAUUGCAAUGAGCUGAAAUCAGAACAAGCUGGAAUUGAUCACAUGAGAAAUAAGAAUCAAAGUAAGUUGUAUACUUGAAUCGAAAUCAACAAUAUUCCAAUUGAUGUAUUUACUUCUGUCUUGUUAUCCAAAUAAGUUAUCACAAGUCAUAAAAAUGUCCUUAGUUCCACUCUUGCUAGAUGUCAUGAUGAUAUUUGUUUCAUCCAUCUGGUAAGCGAAGGAGUUAUUACAAGUUAAAAAAAUGUAUAAAUAAGCAAACAUUUUUAAAGAAACCAUUGGCAUAUUUAUUAUAAUAUUGAGUGUAAUACAAUGAGUUUUUGAGUAAACUAGUUGUUGUUGUUGUUAUUUUAUAUCGAUAAUAACUACUAUUAAUAUUAUUAGUGUAGGGAAAUUAAAGCCCUAACUUCCUAUUAAUUUAAUUCCUUCUUAUUACCAUAAGGGGAACCAAAGUUCAAAUACCAAGUUUUUGUUGCUGGCAGGACUCGAACCUACGCCCCUCAACUUUCUAGGUAUAGGUUCUCCCAUUAGAUUACAAAGUUGGCUUGUGUUAUUGUUACUACUAAUACUAUUAUUAUAAUAAUUGUUUAUUUUCUUAUUAGUAUAAUUAAUAUUAUUAAGAUUAUUUAAUUAUGUAAUAGGAAUAAAAUUAAAAUUUCAAAAAUUAAGGGAUAGUAAAAUAAUUAAUUUAGAAAAUAAAAAUCGCAAUCCCACCUUCCCAUAGAAAUGAGAUUCUCAUUCCCACUUUUAAAUUUUGGUGGGCCUUGCAAAUUUCAUUCACAUUCUCAAAUAUCAAAUAAGCAAGUAAAUAAUGGAAUCAUUUUCAGUCCUCCAUUCUUGACUCCCAUUCCAAGAAGUUAAUAAUAUUUAAUAGAAUGUUCAAAUGAAAAGACUAGCCAGGCCCUGAGAAUUGACAUCGAUCAAUUAUCUCUUCCCGGUUAGAAAUAUAUGUUAUUUGUUUUGUUUUUUUUUUUAAUUCAUAUAUUGUUAAAAAGUCAAAAUUGGCGAUUUGUUUAUUCAAGUUUGUUGAAAAAGAAGAGGUGAGCCACAUGCAUAAUUGACUUUUGGAGGAGGUAGGAAUCGCAUGCAUGAUUUCUUUCAAAAAUGAAGAAAUUUUGCAACUUUAGGAAGACUUUUUUGAUGCAAUUGAAGAGUUUUUCAAAGGUGGAAAUGGUGGCCCAAAUCAUUGAAAUAAUUGCAUGUAAAUUAGAUGUUAGGUGCUGGUGCAACUUGUAGACAAAUACAAAACAGAAAAAUUAGUAUUCCUAGUCCUCUGCCACGUUAAGAGACUAUCAUUUUUCUUACCUAUGAUCGAAGCUUCAUUUGGAGGAUAUGCUGUACAGAGUAGUUUUCCAAUCCAGUAUCCUGGAUUGGAGUUAUAAUCCGGGAGACAAUUUGUAGCCGUCGGAUCAAAUCCAACGGCAACUUUUCAAAUAUUGACUCCGACAGUAGGGUCCACUUGCAGACUUUUACAAUUUUUAAUAUUAAAAAGUAAGGCUGCUUUUAAAUAGAGAACUGAUAUUCCCUCCCCGGAUUCUUCAUCAUCUGACUAAAGCCAAAAAGAACUGAUACUAACAAAUCACCAUUUGAGAUUUCCACUUUUUCAUUAUCCAUUUUAGUACAACUUAAAUCAAGGGGGAAAAAGGAAUAAAACAAGCAGAUGAUUACACAUGCACACUGAUUUCCAUUUUGUCACCAUUUCUUGCCGAUGUUGCUGUAAUUCUUUUUUUUUUUUUUUUGGUUUAUCUCAAACUUUGUAAUUUUAUUAAUAUUGAGAGCAUAAAAAAAACAACGAGUUCAUGAUCCAUCUGAUUUUAGUAAAUAAAUCAGGUGAGCUUUGCUAUUAACUUUCCUUCACCGGCAACUAUAGAGAAGUGCUGGAGCAGGAUCUCCAGACUCCAAUCAGGCAUCAACAUCCAUCAAAAACUCACAAAACUUUCUCUCUUAAUCGCCUUCACAGACUCUUCGUUUCUCAUUUUUCUCGCUUUCUUCUUCUUCGAAAGCAGCGAGCCCUUCCAAUCCCUUCUUUUGUGGCUCUCCCUUUCCCUCUUCAUCCGCCCCUUCGCCAUCGCUCAACUCACCUGCGGUCACACUGCGUCGGUCACAGCCCAAUCAUUGAAACCCCUCAUAUCCAGAUCCAAAGAUUAAAAGGAAGCCUUAGAAGUCGCAAAAGAACCAAUCUUUAACCCCCCCCCACGGUUCGGUUCUGAUCGUUAAAAACUCAAAUGGGUCAAUUGGAAUUGAGUAAAAAGAGAAGAAAUUUGAAGAAAUUUGAAGUCUUGGAGGAAUGAAAUGGAGAGGAUAUUCAGAUUCUGAAAAGCAGUGAUGAAGAAACCGAUGGGGAAGAUCAGUUCUCUCUCUAAAAAUUUAUUAGGCAACUUUAUUUUUUUAAUAUUAAAAAUUAUAAAAGUCUGCAGUUGGGCCCUUAUGUUGGAAUCAAUAUUUGAAAUUAAAAUACAAGUUGCUACAAAUUGUCUCCCGGAUUAUAACUCCAAUCCAGGACACUGGAUUCGAAAAACUACUCAU
rnacentral:lncRNA from 1 species